CCUACGGGGGGCAGCAGUGAGGAAUCUUGCGCAAUGGAGGCAACUCUGACGCAGCCACGCCGCGUGCAGGAAGACACCCCUAUGGGGCGUAAACUGCUUUUCUGUGAGAAGAACCCCUGCCUCGGGCAGGACUGACGGUAUCACAGGAAUAAGGACCGGCUAACUCCGUGCCAGCAGCCGCGGUAAUACGGAGGGUCCAAGCGUUGUCCGGAAUCAUUGGGUGUAAAGGGUGUGUAGGCGGGUCUGCAAGUCAGGGGUGAAAGCCCACAGCUUAACUGUGGAAUUGCCUUUGAUACUGCAGGUCUUGAGUCCUGGAGAGGCUACUAGAAUUCGUGGUGUAGCGGUGAAAUGCGUAGAUAUCACGAGGAAUACCAGAGGCGUAGGCGGGUAGCUGGACAGGAACUGACGCUGAGGCACGAAAGCGUGGGGAGCGAACAGGA
rnacentral:rRNA from 1 species